rnacentral:rRNA from 1 species
AUUGAACGCUGGCGGCAUGCCUUACACAUGCAAGUCGAACGGUAACGGGCCUUCGGGUGCCGACGAGUGGCGAACGGGUGAGUAAUACAUCGGAACGUGCCCGAUCGUGGGGGAUAACGAGGCGAAAGCUUUGCUAAUACCGCAUACGAUCUACGGAUGAAAGCAGGGGACCGCAAGGCCUUGCGCGGACGGAGCGGCCGAUGGCAGAUUAGGUAGUUGGUGGGAUAAAAGCUUACCAAGCCGACGAUCUGUAGCUGGUCUGAGAGGAUGAUCAGCCACACUGGGACUGAGACACGGACCAGACUCCUACGGGAGGCAGCAGUGGGGAAUUUUGGACAAUGGGCGCAAGCCUGAUCCAGCCAUGCCGCGUGCAGGAUGAAGGCCUUCGGGUUGUAAACUGCUUUUGUACGGAACGAAAAGCCUUCUUUUAAUACAGGAGGGUCAUGACGGUACCGUAAGAAUAAGCACCGGCUAACUACGUG